CGAGGCCCAGUUUCCCCGAGGCCUGAGACCCAGGUUCACAGAGGCCCGAGGCCAAGGUUCCCUGAGACCCAGGUUCCCCGAGGCCCGAGGCCCAGGUUCCCCGAGGCCCAAGAUCCAGGUUCCCCGAGGCCCAAACGUUAUCGUCUCAUCUGACUCUGACAAACAGAUUUUCCAGAGAGUUCCUUUAUUGUUGAUGGAUUCAUCCCUGCAGACGGUCUGAAGGUGUCUGUGAUAAAGAACUAACUCAGCAUUGUCAAUUAACUUAUAC